rnacentral:rRNA from 1 species
GACGAACGCUGGCGGCGUGCUUAACACAUGCAAGUCGUACGGUAAGGCCCUUUCUGGGGUACACGAGUGGCGAACGGGUGAGUAACACGUGUGUAACCUGCCCACAACUUUGGGAUAACGCUAGGAAACUGGUGCUAAUACUGGAUAUGUGCUCCUGCUGCAUGGUGGGGGUUGGAAAGCUCCGGCGGUUGUGGAUGGACUCGCGGCCUAUCAGCUUGUUGGUGGGGUAGUGGCCUACCAAGGCGGCGACGGGUAGCCGGCCUGAGAGGGUGACCGGCCACAUUGGGACUGAGAUAAGGCCCAGACUCCGACGGGAGGAAGCAGUGGGGAAUAUUGCACAAUGGGCGCAAGCCUGAUGCAGCAACGCCGCGUGCGGGAUGACGGCCUUCGGGUUGGAAAACGCUUUCAGCAGGGACGAAGCUUUUUGUGACGGUACCUGCAGAAGAAGCACCGGCUAACUACGUG